rnacentral:rRNA from 1 species
GACGAACGCUGGCGGCGUGCUUAACACAUGCAAGUCGAACGGAAAGGCCCUGCUUUUGUGGGGUGCUCGAGUGGCGAACGGGUGAGUAACACGUGAGUAACCUGCCCUUGACUUUGGGAUAACUUCAGGAAACUGGGGCUAAUACCGGAUAGGAGCUCCUGCUGCAUGGUGGGGGUUGGAAAGUUUCGGCGGUUGGGGAUGGUCUCGCGGCUUAUCAGCUUGUUAGUGAGGUAGUGGCUUACCAAGGGUUUGACGGGUAGCCGGCCUGAGAGGGUGAACGGCCACAUGGGGACUGAGAGACGCACCAGACUCCUACGGGAGGCAGCAGGCGGGAAUAUUGCACAAUGGGCGGAAGCCUGAUGCAGCAACGCCGGGUGCGGGAUGACGGCCUACGGGUUGUAAACCGAUUUCGCCGGUGCCGAAGCGUGAGUGACGGUAAUGGGUAAAGAAGCACCGGCUAACUACGUG